GAAACCCUAAUACAAAACCCUAAUGGAUUGACCAAUUAGCAAUAGACAUCUAUAGGCUUAGCAAAUCACAUUCAUCCACUAAUUAUUUGCCAAAUAUCUUAUGUGGACCACUCUCCUAAAGUAUUCCAAAACAAUUGGCUGGUAUGAUGGCUGGUUUAUUUGAUGGUUUAUCCAAACAAUUGGCUGGGUUUGACAUUUCAUCUAGACAAAUGAGAUCUUGACACAAGCUUCCAUUCAUUCAGUAAUUGUAGUAACAAAUGGAACACAUGCAUUGAGACCCACAUAGGUAUAUAUUUCUCUCUGUCAGUUUUUUUUUUCAUUUGUAAAAUUUCUUUCUCUCUCUUCUCUCUCUUCUCUCUCUUCUCUCUCGUACACUCUCUUUUUCUCAGCAUCUCACACUUUCAUCUCUUGUCUCUGACCCAUCUCAUCCUUCACCACAACCUCCACCACCACCUACAAAUGAAUCACUCGUGAGAGUGAGGAACUGACCGAUUGAGAGAAGAUCUGACGGCGAGAGGGUAGUUUCGGAGAGGAAGAGAGAGUUCCGGCCGACACCAGAAAAGCUUCGACCACCACCAUUGGCACCACACCGCUUGCCUCUCACCACCGACUGCAACCUUUUUCUCUCUCUGCUAAGCUGAGUUUUCAAAUCAAAAUCACCGGAAAAGCCAGUCACGCCACCACCACAAAAGCUUUCGCAUAUAGACAGCCGUCACCGACGCCUUUCCAGGAGGUGCUUGAGUGUAUGUUUGAUUACAUUGAUAGGAUGUUUAACAUGGUGCGACCUAGGAAGCUGCUGUUUAUGGCUAUUGAUGGUGUUGCACCGAGGGCUAAAAUGAACCAGCAACGGUCUAGGCGGUUUAGGGCAGUUAAAGAUGCAUCUAAUGCGCACAGUGGGGACAAGGCUAUGAUUUUUUGUUUUGUGGAGUUUACUGAACCCAACUGCGCUCUCACCGCCAUGGAAGCUCUGCAAGGAUAUAAUGAGGCUGGCCUAGAAAAACCUUAUACAUUCAAGACUGAUGAGAGGAAUGGAAGAUAGAAAUAAUUCUCAUAUGUUGAAGUGAGUUAUUUUCUCAUUCUUCGAUGCAUUUAUUUUAUUAUUUUACUACUUUUUGUGUACAUUUUACAGCUUUAAUUAAUUCUCCUUUUACAAGUUUGAUUGAUUGCCUCAUUGAAUUGCACUUUCACGACUCAUGUUCUUUUUGGGUUACAAAUGUGUAUUUUAUAUUUAGCCAGCUGAUACCUAAAACUAAUAAGCAUCAAUCACAGGUAUGGUUCAUCACCAAAUGAUUUUGAAGGAGUAUUUGCCCAUUUUGAUGUUCCUUUUGUUCAAGUAAACAAUGUUGAAUCAUGUACUCUUUUCUCUUUUACUUUGGAGUUUGAGUGGUAUUUCUUGAUUUCUAUCAAUUUUGUAGGCUCCCUCAUUUCCUACACUUUCCAUUAAUGUCAUGAAUCUGUUGAAUUCAGGUAGAAACUGAGGAUGAGGUAUUAUUAUAUGCUUUAACCUGUUUCUUGUGAUGUAUUCAAGAGGAUGCAUACUUAUUUUAGUAUUCUACUUGCAGAUAGUACUAAGUUGAAAGUUGAAACUAAUAGAAUAGCAUCCAUCUAUAACAUCAGUAAGUAAGCAAAGACAUUAUUCUAAACAUAAAGUCAUUUAGUUUAUACGCAAAAAAGAACAUGUGUAUUGUUCUAAUUCUAAUACUUGACUUAUUCUAUUCACAUGUGUGUAGCCAAUGAUGAUGUAGCUAUGUGUCAGUUUUUUUUUGCAAUUAUUGAUCAUGAAAAGAAGAGGACAUUUGUUUUGCGUAAAGAUUGCCUUCCUGAUGCUGGUCAGUAUUUUCUUAUCUUCAUCAAUUUGUUUUUCAUAGAUGUGUAAAUAUACAAAAGAGAUGUAUGAUAUGCAAUUCAUAAAUAAUAUAUAUCACUUAUAACUAUUGGAUUUUGGUUUUGGACACAGCAAUAUGAUAGAUAGAGAAGUGAAAACAAUGAAUUGCACAUAUCCAAUGUUUAAGUAAAGAGAUUAUGAAUUCAACUUUCCCAGUUAUAUCACACAAACUCCUAACAAUACACAUGUUCUUAAUUAUUUGUUGGAUUAUUCACACAUGUCUUAAUUAUAUCACACAAACUCCUAACAAUACACAUGUUCUUUCCCAGUUAAUUUUUAUGUCUUAAUUAUUCAGUUGUUGGAUUAUUUUUGGAAGUUCUGGAAGAGGCCUCACUAUGGAAUUCCAGUAUGCACUGCAAUUUUUGUUUGGGUGUGGGUGCAUACACUUGUACCAGAUCUAUUGUUCGUACAUUCAAAUUUCUACCGCUAUUUGUGAUUUGUUGUAGUGUGCUGCAGGUUGAGAAAUUAGAUCUUAUAACUGCUGCUAUGGACAUGCAUUGGCCACAGAAGGAGGAUUCUGCACCAGAAGUGCGAGAGUUAUAGAUCAUCAAGUUUUUAUAAAAUUGGUACUGCAUCUGAAUCUGUAAAUGCAGCUUACAUAUUUUCCAGAAAAGAUCUUUCUCGGCCUGCUAUACAGCUUCCUUGUGCAAGCAAAGCUAUUGUAGGUAAGAGGAAUCAACCUUAGAAGAUUUGAAAUUUCUAGAUUAUUUAAUGAUUUAUUUUCUAACAUUUGAUGAGAUUGUGUUUUUGCAAAUAAAGAGUGGAUUUUGAUCUAGCUUGAAGGUUUUGAUCAUCUGUUAUAAGAGAUUACUUCUUAUUGGCUACUAGAGAUCGAAUCAGUAAACCUUUAUUUAUGGUUUAAUUGAUUCAAUUCAACCGCUUGAACCAAAUGACUUAAUAAACAAGUAAUUAAUAAAAAUGAAAACAAUGAACCGGUUGAACCAACCACAUUUCAACUCAGUUCAAUCCGGCAAUCCUCUUCUGUGAUGGUCAUUGUGACGAUUGUAUGUUCCUAUUUGCAGGAUAAAUUGAGGCACCAUGUUGUUUUUGACACACUCAGGGGUGAUUGGAUGAUUGCCUUUGGAAAUUGGGAAUUUGACCCAAUGACGCUUAGUAAUCCAUUCCCUCACAAUAACAGAAGUUCAGUUCACAUUUGGCAGGGCUAUGAAGAUAAAGUAGUACCCUCUCAAAUUCAAAGAUUCAUUUCAGAGAAGCUACCAUGGAUACAAUACAAUAUCAUGAAAUUGCAGAUGGUGGUCAUUUGAUUGUACAUUAUAGUGGCUUAGGCGAGGCGAUUUUGAAGGCACUUUUACUUGGGGAAGAAGAUAUUUCAUAUAAACCUAGAUCAUCAAAAUCUGUAUCUUAAUUUUGCCAUGACUUUUAUCAUAAUCCAAUGUUUAUUAUUGGUUAAAUUUUUGGGGAAGUGCCAGAUAUGUAAAUCACAUUCUUUGGUUGAAAGGAGGAAAUUAUCAUAUACAAUCAUGUAUACUGUCUUUAUUCUUUUUUGAAAGAAAUGUUAGAAACAUGUUUUUUUUUUUUUUGCUAA